AUAACAAGAAUAAAAAGCAGCAAACCUAAUAAAAAUAAGACGAAACGACUCUGACAUAACAAGAACAACACGGCAGAGACGCAGCUAACAGAUUUUUUUGGAGAAGGUGCAGUGUGCGGGACGGCUUGCAAGAGUCAUCCGCAAUCGGUCAGAGAAUAAUAAAACUACCCUUCAGGUAGCUCCCGAACCGGUUGGAUCGCCUUGGCGACACAUUGAAUCAGCGCUCAAAAAAAUACGUUUGCUCUUGAUCCCGGAUGGGGAUCGCCCAAAACAGCGGUAAAGGGCCACGGUCGACAAAAACAACAACAGGCCGCCCUUCAAUAAUAAAAAAAGAGCACGCAACGACAAAUUAAAGGGGAGCUUCGGCUCCCCUUUGUGCUUCCUGCCUUUCCUGGUUUGCCCGCCCU
rnacentral:sRNA from 1 species